rnacentral:lncRNA from 1 species
GGCUACACUGUAUGGAGCUGGAUCCCAGAAGCACCUUUUGAGAAGAAGCUCAAUCCAAAGCGAAGCAGCUACAGCUUUGUCACCUCUGCUCCUCACAAGGCUGCUGGCAGAAGGCUCACUGUGGCCACCAGCCUCUGGGAUCUCCAGAGUCUGUGUCCAGGGUGCAGUGUCUGCUCCCACAGCUGCCAGUCCUUGGGGUGUCUCAGCCAUGUUCCCAACCACACUUGUCAUCUCAAGUCCUGAAGCAGCUCUGCCUGUACUUAAAAUCUCAGUCUUCUCGACUAACUCACUCAGCUCCAGCCUCCAGCCCUUCACUGCACAGGGACCCCAAACCAGUCCACGGGAUUUGGAGGAGAGACUUCACUCUGCCUUCUCCAGCCUUCUCUCCCCUCCACCUCAGCCUG